rnacentral:rRNA from 1 species
GAUGAACGCUGGCGGCGUGCCUAAUACAUGCAAGUAGAACGCUGAAGCUUGGUGCUUGCACCGAGCGGAUGAGUUGCGAACGGGUGAGUAACGCGUAGGUAACCUGCCUCUUAGCGGGGGAUAACUAUUGGAAACGAUAGCUAAUACCGCAUAAAAGUCGACAUCGCAUGAUGUUGACUUGAAAGGUGCAAUUGCAUCACUAAGAGAUGGACCUGCGUUGUAUUAGCUAGUUGGUGAGGUAACGGCUCACCAAGGCGACGAUACAUAGCCGACCUGAGAGGGUGAUCGGCCACACUGGGACUGAGACACGGCCCAGACUCCUACGGGAGGCAGCAGUAGGGAAUCUUCGGCAAUGGGGGCAACCCUGACCGAGCAACGCCGCGUGAGUGAAGAAGGUUUUCGGAUCGUAAAGCUCUGUUGUAAGAGAAGAACGAGUGUGAGAGUGGAAAGUUCACACUGUGACGGUAACUGACCAGAAAGGGACGGCUAACUACGUG